rnacentral:rRNA from 1 species
UGUCUAUUAAUUGUAGACCUGUAUGAAUGGCAAAAUGAGGGUUUAACUGUCUCUUAUAAUAAGUCUAUUAAACUGAUCUCCUAGUAAAAAAGCUAGAAUGUCCCCAUAAGACCAGAAGACCCUGUGAAGCUUAAACUAAACUAUUAAACCCAAUAAUAACUACUUUCGGUUGGGGCGACCUUGGAAACAAAAAUAACUUCCAAUAUAUGUGAUACACCACACCCACUAGGCCCACAAGCCAAUUAAUGACCCAGUACUACUGAUAAUAGAACAAAGUUACUCCAGGGAUAACAGCGCUAUCUUCUUCAAGAGCCCAUAUCAAAAAGAAGGUUUACGACCUCGAUGUUGGAUCAGGACAUCCUAAUGGUGCAGCCGCUAUUAAGGGUUCGUUUGUUCAACGAUUAAUGU